GAUGAAGAACGCAGCGAAAUGCGAUAAGUAAUGUGAAUUGCAGAAUUCAGUGAAUCAUCGAAUCUUUGAACGCACAUUGCGCCCGCCAGUAUUCUGGCGGGCAUGCCUGUUCGAGCGUCAUUUCAACCAUCAAGCCCCCGGCUUGUGUUGGGGACCUGCGGCUGCCGCAGGCCCUGAAAUGCAGUGGCGGGCUCGCUGUCACUCCGAGCGUAGUAGUUACAUCUCGCUCUGGGCGUGCUGCGGGUUCCGGCCGUUAAACCCCUUUACCCCAAGGUUGACCUCGGAUCAGGUAGGAAGACCCGCUGAACUUAAGCAUAUCAAUAAGCGGAGGA
rnacentral:misc_RNA from 1 species